rnacentral:lncRNA from 1 species
AAAACACGAAACUGAGCUGUACAAAGAUGCUGAUGAGGGGCUGCAGCAUGCAAUUCACUUCACCAGCAGUCACUAAGGUCUGAUCUCUUUUCUAACCAUACCUGGAAGAUGGAAUGCUGGACCCAGGAAGGCUUUGACAUAUCAAUGCACCAGGGAUCUUACCAAACUAAAUUUUAAGCACUUAUAGCUCAAGAUUCUCCCUCUGAGAUGAAACAUACUUCCACCCUGUCAUGUGUCAGCUUCAGAAGAUAUCAAUUGCUCAAGAAAGUGUUGGACAAGCAGAAAAGCACACUGAACAUUUCUGGACUUGUGAAAGAGCUCUGAAUAUGGAUCUCUCAGGGAUAUUCCAUCCCCACCAAUGCUUUACCAAUGCGAGAGCUGGCCAGGCUGAGACAUUUAAUGAUAACAUGGAACAAUUUAUUCAGGAAGAUAGUCAACUACUCAUGUGGCUUUAUGAUUAUAAAACCCACUGAAAAUUGGGUCCCUUGAUUCUCUUGAUUUUUCCUAAGCCUUACUCCCUAAAGUCUCCAAUUUGAUGAGGUAUUUGAUACUUGAUCUCUCCUUGAAGUAAAAUUUGGAGCAAAAUAUAUUGGACUGGAAGGCCUGAGACCUCGAUAAGAAGAAACAUGAACCCCAGAGCCACAGGUCAGGAGGUUUUCAUUAUAAUACUAUUGCCCUCUUAAAACAAAUACUCCAAUUGCCAAGGUUUCCUCACUUAAUAAUUUAUCUCAUAUGUGUUUUUGAAAGUUACUCUGAAUACUUCUUAUAUGUAUAAAUAAGUUAGUUAACAGUAAUUAAUGCAGAUAUUUAAAUAAAUACAAGCAGGCAGGUGGGAUGAUGACUACAGUCACUUGAUAAAGAACAGCUAGGUGGCCGGGCGCGGUGGCUCAC